CGCAGGCUGCAACCCGCCUGCGUGAAGUCGGAAUCGCUAGUAAUCGCAGAUCAGCAUGCUGCGGUGAAUACGUUCCCGGGUCUUGUACACACCGCCCGUCACACCAUGGGAGUCGGGAAUGCCCGAAGUCAGUGACCCAACCGUAAGGAGGGAGCUGCCGAAGGUGGAGCCGGUAACUGGGGUGAAGUCGUAACAAGGUAGC
rnacentral:rRNA from 1 species